rnacentral:rRNA from 1 species
GGGGAAUUUUGGACGAUGGGGGCAACCCUGAUCCAGCCAUGCCGCGUGUAUGAAGAAGGCCUUAGGGUUGUAAAGUACUUUUGUUAGGGAAGAAAAGUCAGCUGUGAAUAAUGGCUGAUACUGACGGUACCUAAAGAAUAAGCACCGGCUAACUACGUGCCAGCAGCCGCGGUAAUACGUAGGGUGCGAGCGUUAAUCGGAAUUAUUGGGCGUAAAGCGAGUGUAGACGGUUAUUUAAGCCAGAUGUGAAAUACCCGAGCCUAACUUGGGAGGUGCAUAUGGAACUGGGUAGCUAGAGUGUGUCAGAGGGAGGUAGAACUCCACGUGUAGCAGUGAAAUGCGUAGAGAUGUGGAAGAAUACCGAUGGCGAAGGCAGCCUCCUGGGAUAACACUGACGUUGAGGCUCGAAAGCGUGGGGAGCAAACAGGAUUAGAUACCCUGGUAGUCCACGCCCUAAACGAUGACAAUUAGCUGUUGGCCCCAUUAAGGGGUGAGUAGCGAAGCUAACGCGUGAAAUUGUCCGCCUGGGGAGUACGGUCGCAAGAUUA